rnacentral:rRNA from 1 species
UCCUCCCUCUGGCGGCGUGCUUAACACAUGCAAGUCGAACGGAAAGGCCCCUUUGGGGGUACUCGAGUGGCGAACGGGUGAGUAACACGUGAGUAACCUGCCCUUGACUUCGGGAUAACUUCAGGAAACUGGGGCUAAUACCGGAUAGGAAUCCUUGCUGCAUGGUGGGGGUUGGAAAGCUUCGGCGGUUUUGGAUGGACUCGCGGCUUAUCAGCUUGUUGGUGGGGUAGUGGCUUACCAAGGCUUUGACGGGUAGCCGGCCUGAGAGGGCGACCGGCCACAUUGGGACUGAGAUACGGCCCAGACUCCUACGGGAGGCAGCAGUGGGGAAUAUUGCACAAUGGGCGGAAGCCGGAUGCAGCAACGCCGCGUGCGGGAUGACGGCCUUCGGGUUGUAAACCGCGUUCAGCAGGGGCGAAGCUUGUGGUGACGGUACCUGCAGAAGAAGCACCGGCUAACUACGUG